AGUGAACGCUGGCGGUAGGCCUAACACAUGCAAGUCGAACGGCAGCACAGUAAGAGCUUGCUCUUACGGGUGGCGAGUGGCGGACGGGUGAGGAAUACAUCGGAAUCUACUUUUUCGUGGGGGAUAACGUAGGGAAACUUACGCUAAUACCGCACACGACCUACGGGUGAAAGCAGGGGAUCUUCGGACCUUGCGCGAUUGAAUGAGCCGAUGUCGGAUUAGCUAGUUGGCGGGGUAAAGGCCCACCAAGGCGACGAUCCGUAGCUGGUCUGAGAGGAUGAUCAGCCACACUGGAACUGAGACACGGUCCAGACUCCUACGGGAGGCAGCAGUGGGGAAUAUUGGACAAUGGGCGCAAGCCUGAUCCAGCCAUACCGCGUGGGUGAAGACGGCCUUCGGGUUGUAAAGCCCUUUUGUUGGGAAAGAAAAGCAGCAGGUUAAUACCCCGCUGUUCUGACGGUACCCAAAGAAUAAGCGCCGGCUAACUUCGUG
rnacentral:rRNA from 1 species